GAAAUGGAAACAGUUGAUCCGCUGUGGCGACCCCUAACGGGAGCAGCCAAAAGAAGAAGAAGAAGAAGAAGAUCAUUUCAUUAUUUCAUCAUCUAUCAUGUCAGUGGUUCUGUUUCAUCUAUUGGAACUUCUUUGUUUAUAGUGUCUGGUUUCCUAAUUUUCCUUUUCUGUGCUCUUCUUGUAUAAGACCUCAUUCCUUUCUUUACAUUCUAUGUAAAGUAAUUCAUAACUUUCUCAGGUAAGUCAUUUUUUUACAUUCUGUGUAAAGUACAUCAUAACUUUUUCAGGUUAGUCAUUUAUUUACAUUCUAUGUAAAGUACAUCAUAACUUUCUCAGGUCAGUCAUUUCUUUACAUUCUGUGUAAAGUACAUCAUAACUUUCUCAGGUCAGUCAUUUCUUUACAUUCUAUGUAAAGUACAUCAUAACUUUCUCAGGUCAGUCAUUUCUUUACAUUCUAUGUAAAGUACAUCAUAACUUUCUCAGGUCAGUCAUUUCUUUACAUUCUAUGUAAAGUACAUCAUAACUUUCUCAGGUCAGUCAUUUCUUUACAUUCUAUGUAAAGUACAUCAUAACUUUCUCAGGUUAGUCAUUUCUUUACAUUCUAUGUAAAGUACAUCAUAACUUUCUCAGGUCAGUCAUUUCUUUACAUUCUAUGUAAAGUACAUCAUAACUUUCUCAGGUCAGUCAUUUCUUUACAUUCUGUGUAAAGUACAUCAUAACUUUCUCAGUUUAGUCAUUUCUUUCUGCUUCCUAACAAACUGAAAUACAUUCUUUUCAAGUCUGAAGCCUCUGUCAUUGUUGUGAUUCCCUUCCUACUGCAAGACUCACUGACUAUGCUUUAGCAUGAUCAUUGUCAACCGCUUUCUAUCUUUCCCAUCCAUUUUUAGAUGGUGUAGACCAUAAUGGGAAUAUUUCAUUUUCUUGUUGAAGUGUUUGAUCAUUUAAGGGUUUCAUGAAUUCAUUCAUAUAUUUUAAUGUGGCAGUUAGCAAAUCCUAGUUUAUUCCUACAAGAAUAAGAUGUCUCAUGACUACUGUACUUCUCUAUUAUCCUAAUGUAACCCUGUUCUUGACUUGUUUUCAUCAUAAGUACCUCCAUUUGGUCACCUUUUGUAUACAACUACUCACCAUAGCUAUCCUUCCUCACUCUUUCAGACUUACAGGCCAACAUUUACAUUUUUAUUUUCUCUUUUUCUUCAAUACUUUCUAAAUAGCAUAUAAUUACUUUCCAAACAUGCACUGUCAUUCCUCUACCUCCUGUGGCCUUCCUGUCAUUACUUUGCAAUAUGAAUUCUGAUAACAGUAUGUCUCUGUAAUUUAUCCAACUUAACAUAAUCUUGUAAAUUUCUUUUUUCCCCUCAGUGAUACCUUACCAGUCUAGAGUGCAGUGUUCUUUCAUAAAAUAGAUGAUGCAAUCCUCAGCUGGUUCCUACCAGCCAUUUUGUUUUCUAUACCAGACUCCAACUCAUUAAAUCUGUCUUCUCCCAAUACAGCUUCCUUUCUGAGCACUGAGCACUGCAGGCAUGAAAAAAUCAGAUUUCCCCCCUUUACAACAAACUGAUGCCAUAUUUAUUUUAAGGCUGAAAUGUACCAUCUGUCUGCCCAAAGAUGGAAUGCUGCAAAAGCAUUUUAUUUUACUACUCAAGUCAGUUUUCUGAUUAUUAAUGAUUGUCUCAAGAGUCUGCCUGUUGCAGCUAAUGUGGCUUUUCAGGUGGUCUACUGUUUCUUCUGAACAUGUUAGAAUCGUUUCUGCCAUUGUAUAAAGUAAAACAAUAAUAAGAGACAAUAAAGAAGAUCAAAUGCCCAAAGUUCGGGACAGAUUUUGAAUACUGCUCUUAUAUACUUAGAAAUUUGCUAGAAUAACAGGUUUUACAUUAGGAUGUGUUUUCUGCAGGAAAGGUAAUCUGAAACUUGAAUGUCUCUUAUUAUUUAUUGACUGUAGCCCUGAAUGAUUUGUCAAAAAAAGACAAAUGUUAUGAAAAACAGACCAAAAAUAUGAAGAAUAUCUGGGACAUUCUGCAAAAAUAAGGGAGAGUUGAGAGCAAUGUUUGGGCGUAGUUCCCAACCAUAAAUCAUUCUACAGCUAAAAAAAAAAGUCUAGCAGAAUGCUUCAUGAACCUUGACAACAUUUGUUCUAGUAUGUAAACUAGUUUUAGUGUCUCACAUGGAAGCAGUAAUAUUCCAUUUCUCAUUGCCUGAACUGUUAAUUAUCAUUACCCUGACUGUCUUUAGUGACGCACACACUGUUUAUAGCUAUGCUGAUUCAUGUUCCCCUUUUCCUAGGCCUCUCUUCAUUUUUUAUUCUGCUGUUUUGCAAUUUUCUUUCUUAAAGUUAAGUCUUCACUAUGUCCCUUAUUUUCCCACAUCUCUGUCUCUUAUAUAGAAUACCAUUCCCAUCUUCAUUCCCUGUCUGAUGCACCUCACAGCUUUCUCAGUGAUGUCAUGCCAGACUAGUUUAGUGAAUACUGCUAGCAAGCGACAGAGAGUUAAAGACAGAGGCCUACAUGCUUUCACUUCUCUCCCAUCUCCUACCUACUAUGACACUGUAUUACUUACUAUGAACACUGGCUCAGUUUCCUCAUCACAGAUGUAUCUAUCUUCUCUUUGCAUAUUCUUUACAUUCCUGGAGCUUCCAUGACAUAGCUUUUCACCAGUUCUUCUGACCUUUCCACUUUAAACUUAUACCUGUCUGUAUGCUUUCCUGUUCAUGCAUGGAUUUUUUUCCUUAAAAAUGUUCACUCUUAUCUUUGUUUACUUUUCUAUGCAUACUUCCUUCAGAUUUCUGUCUGUAUGAUUGCCUAUAUGAUGUUUCUUUUUUAUUACCUUAAUCAAUUAAAAUUCUUCUUGUUCUCUGCAAAUUAUUCUUCCUUUUUGUACUUUCUGUCUUGCUGUUGGAGCCACUGUAUCUUUCAAUUCCAUCCAUAAUAUUCCAUGACUUUCUGGUAACUCAUCUAUGCUACUACUAAUGUUGGAUUAGUCAAAAUGCAACAUGAGCUUUGCCUUGAAUACUUCAUUCCUGUAUUUGCUUUACUGCUAGCCUUUCCCCAGGUCAUAGGUACAAGGCAACCCUAAGUUAGCUGGCAUGUUUGAUUCAACCAGUUGUAAUAAAAUGAAUAAAAUCUACACUAUCUCUAAUUAACUUAAUUAAAAAAUGUUGCUACUCACUUUAUUAUCUACUUGAGUUUACUUUUUUUUGAGGAGGACUGGUUUGCAUCUUAAUUACAACAACAUUUUAUAACAUUUUGUAUAGUUACAUCAAUUUUGUCUUAUUACUGUACUGAUU